rnacentral:lncRNA from 1 species
UCACAUUCCGGAUUGUGAUAAGUUACCAAAAUAUUCUAUCGACAUUUUCAUACGUUACAUUGUAUAGAAGGAGGCAUGUUUGAUUACAUUUUUACGUAAGAGUCGAUACGACAAACCAGGCAAUCAACAAAGUCAGAAGCUUGUUGAUCGGUUUGCAUUCAAAACAGCAUUAGUCAAGCACAAAGCAAGAGAGUGACAGCCUCCGUUUUGUUCUGUUCCAUAUUCUGUUCUCGUCUUUUACGUUUGCUUUUUUGUUUUUUCAUAUUUGAACAACCAAAGAGCCAAACAGUUAGCGCUGAUCGAUGGGACGCGUUAUUUUUCAAGUUAUUUUUCUUUAUUCUCCUUGUCACUGUAUUCUCCCGUCCGCAGUUUCUCGUGCACUCGUCCAUCGAUCCACAUCGAUUGGAGCUAAUAUGGUAUCAGGCUUCUGGUGGAUUUUAGUUAGCAGAUCUGUUGUAACACAGAGAAUUUCGUCCAAUGCCCCAAGGCACAAAAGAAGAGGAAAUAGAAGACUUAUAUUAUGAGUAACGAGAAAUUUCCUCGAAGGACAUGGAACAAAGUUUGGCUUUAAACUUGCAUAGGGUAUAGCUAUAUACUAGGCGUACAGAAUCUAUUCUUAUAUGCUGCUUCCAUUGGAUUGCAAUCUAAAGACUUUGUGCAUUAGAGCUGACAUCAAUCAAACCUGCUGUGGGUAAGCGUCACUGAGUAAUAAAUCGAAAUAUCAUGAUUUGUCAAUUAGCUUAUUGGGACUUUAUCCGUGAAUCUCCAAAACGACUGAAAGAAAUUACACAAAAGAAGUUUUAGAUCUUUAUUCCACAAGUUUUGACUCUUCUUGACACGGGUGCUGUCUCGAUAUUCAACGAGUCAAAAUAUAUUUCAAACAACGCGUGCUUUGAAAUAUUCCGUGCGAAGCUAAAGAACUUUGAUAUCCUCGAUAACAUCAAUUUGUGUAAAUCCAUACAAGAUCGAGAUGUAUCCGAUGAUGUUGAUGGUCUUUUUCAGGCGUUCUACGUCACCCGGAAUGGGCAAACGUCAACCGAACGUCCGCGCCUUUCAAGGGGAAACGAUUUCUGUGAAGUUUGGUCGAUCGAACCAGACGCAAAUGAACGGAUGUUGAUCUUCAGAGACUUUCAUUUCCGACUGCUAAUAGCUUCAGCCUUAUUUUGCAUGCAAACCAAGGUCAAAGAGGUGAUCAAUUAAUGCAUUCAUUGUCUCAUUCCUUCUGUUGUGAACAUAAUUUGGAAGUUAAGACAGGACAAUUAAAUAUGCAACAAGAAAUUGGAAACUCCUGCUAUCCAAAGUAGAUAUAACAAGUGGAAAAACAAAGUAAUCAAUUUCCUUUGGCUAUUAGAAGAUACCCAUUCCAAUUUCCUGUGGUCCAUCGGGUCGUCAAUCGAUUAAUGCAGCCGUUGAUAACCUGAAUAUAGCAUCAGUGUAAGUCAAGCUGAUAGAGAAUCGGAGAGUAGGCGCAAGAGUUUGUAAAAAUCACUUUAAAUCCCAAACAAAGGUGCGUCUCUCGCCUCUAUACGGCUUUCCUCCCGACGGAAGACAAUCGAUAACCAGUUGUUGUGAACAUAAAAGAAAAAUGCUCGCUCGUUUUUAGAUUUUGAAACUUUAGCGUUUGCAUUAUUCCUAAAAUGGCAGUCUCUUGACAAGGCUAACCGUAUACCGCGACGUACGAAAAGAAAGAGUUUAAAUCCGUAGCUUAAAAUGAUGGCAUCUAAGCUUUACAUUUCAACAGGCAUGUAUCCUUUCUUAUAUCAUUUUUUUUUCGAGGUGAAUUGGAAAUAUAGUUGGCCCCGUUACAGAAGAAAAGAAAUCCUAGAUAUGCACAGCGUCAGAACGUGUCAAUAAACGACAAGAUCUCUGUGCUAUGGAAUAUACAUAACAUCAGAUGGAGAAUGGCAUCGGCAAAAAAAAAAAAAACGUCAAUAAAAGUCAUAGUUAGUUGGAUAAAAAGAUCGUGUCCCCUUUUGACACCGGCUGCUCGAAUCACCACACU